rnacentral:rRNA from 1 species
AGGCCACAGCUUAACUGUGGGAGUGCUCUGGGUCCUCUGGGGCUGGAGUUCAGGAGGGGAUCGGGAAUUCACGAUGUAGGGCUGACAUCGGUAGAUAUCAGGAAGAACACCUGUGGCGAAGGCGAGAUUAUGGCCAUGGACUGACGCUGAGGCGCGAAAGCGUGGGGAGCGAACAGGGAUAGAUACCCUGGUAGUCCACGCUGUAAACGAUGUAGCACUAGCGUGUUGGCUGUUGCAACGGUCAGUGCCGAAGCAUACGCGAUAAGUGCACCGCCCGGGGAGUAUGCUCGCAAGGCGUGAAACUCAAAGGAAUUGACGCGGGGCCCGCACAAGCGGUCGGAGCAUAUCGUUUAAUUCGAUGAUACGCGAGGAACGUUACCAGGGCUUGAAAUAUGCAGGACGGUGGUAGAGAUACGGCUUGACGUUCAGGGGCGGCGAUACAGGUGAGGCAUGAUAGUCAUCAGCUCGUCCUCUGAGCUGUUGGAAUAAGUCCCGCAACGAGCGCAACACCCUGCUGUCUGCUACCAGCACGUAAAGGUGGGGACUCAGACGCGUAAUGCCGCUGACAAACCGGA